GCCUGAGUGGUUCAGUUGGUUGAGCGUCCGACUUUGGCUCAGGUCAUGAUCUCAUAGUUUGUGGGUUCGAGCCCCACGUCGGGCU
rnacentral:tRNA from 1 species